GACUCGUCACACUAUCAUUAACUGAAUCCAUAGGUUAAUGAGGCGAACCGGGGGAACUGAAACAUCUAAGUACCCCGAGGAAAAGAAAUCAACCGAGAUUCCCCCAGUAGCGGCGAGCGAACGGGGAGGAGCCCAGAGCCUGAAUCAGCAUGUGUGUUAGUGGAAGCGUCUGGAAAGGCGCGCGAUACAGGGUGACAGCCCCGUACACAAAAGCGCAUGUGCUGUGAGCUCGAUGAGUAGGGCGGGACACGUGGUAUCCUGUCUGAAUAUGGGGGGACCAUCCUCCAAGGCUAAAUACUCCUGACUGACCGAUAGUGAACCAGUACCGUGAGGGAAAGGCGAAAAGAACCCCGGCGAGGGGAGUGAAAAAGAACCUGAAACCGUGUACGUACAAGCAGUGGGAGCACAGGUUUACCUGUGUGACUGCGUACCUUUUGUAUAAUGGGUCAGCGACUUAUAUUCUGUAGCAAGGUUAACCGAAUAGGGGAGCCGGAGGGAAACCGAGUCUUAAUUGGGCGUUAAGUUGCAGGGUAUAGACCCGAAACCCGGUGAUCUAGCCAUGGGCAGGUUGAAGGUUGGGUAACACUAACUGGAGGACCGAACCGACUAAUGUUGAAAAAUUAGCGGAUGACCUGUGGCUGGGGGUGAAAGGCCAAUCAAACCGGGAGAUAGCUGGUUCUCCCCGAAAGCUAUUUAGGUAGCGCCUCGUGAAUUCAUCUCCGGGGGUAGAGCACUGUUUCGGCUAGGGGGCCAUCCCGGCUUACCAACCCGAUGCAAACUGCGAAUACCGGAGAAUGUUAUCACGGGAGACACACGGCGGGUGCUAACGUCCGUCGUGAAGAGGGAAACAACCCAGACCGCCAGCUAAGGUCCCAAAGUCAUGGUUAAGUGGGAAACGAUGUGGGAAGGCCCAGACAGCCAGGAUGUUGGCUUAGAAGCAGCCAUCAUUUAAAGAAAGCGUAAUAGCUCACUGGUCGAGUCGGCCUGCGCGGAAGAUGUAACGGGGCUAAACCAUGCACCGAAGCUGCGGCAGCGACGCUGAUGCGUUGUUGGGUAGGGGAGCGUUCUGUAAGCCUGUGAAGGUGGCCUGUGAGGG
rnacentral:rRNA from 1 species